UAAAACCUUACUGUGCAAAAACUUUUGACUGGUAGUGUAUAUAUGUAAUUUUAUGUGUGUGUGUGUCUGUGUGUGUGUGUCUGUGUGUGUGGGAAAGAAAGAAAUCAAGUUUGGAACAACAUGAGUGUAAUAAUGUGUUUAAUUUAUAUCCUAAGUUAAAAUGUUAACUUUUUUGUUUUUACAUAGUCACUAGGCCUCGGUUUACAUCACAACUGUGAACCAUGCAGUAUUACUUGCAAGAAAAGAUUUGAUUAAAUAAACCCUGCAGACUUCACUGACUCAUUCUUCCUCUGAAGUGCUCGCUUUGAACAGAUUGCAAUGAAAUACAAGAGCUAGAAGUGAAUCAAAA